UUCUUACCUAAUAAUAGAAAUCUGGUCUGAGGGUAUCUACGACUGCACUGCAAACUCUUUCAUAUUCGUGAUAAACGAGAGUCACGUAACAGCCUGUGUUAAACAUAUUAUUUCUUUGGGGAAACUUCAAAUACCUCCCGUGGUUUCGUACUUUCUCACUUUAGUAACAUGUGGUUUAAAGUGUUUCAAGUUAGUACCAUGUGGUUUCGCACUUUCUCACUUUAGUACCCUGUAGUUUCAAGUGUAUCAAGUUAGUAUCCUAUGAUUUUAUUUUUGUAUUAAGUUAGUACACUGUGGUUUCAAUUUUCUCUUUUUAUUAUUUAUUUCUGGGUAUAUAAUUUAAUGAAACAUUAAACCAUAGAAUACUAAAGUGAGAAAGUGCGAAACCUCAGGGUACUAAUUUCAUACACUUGAAACCACAGGGUACUAAAGUGAGAAAGUGCGAAACCACAGAAUACUAACUUGAUACAUUUUAAACCACAGGAUACUAAAGUAAAAAAGUGCGAAACCACAUGGGGG
rnacentral:lncRNA from 1 species